GACGAACGCUGGCGGCGUGCUUAACACAUGCAAGUCGAACGGAAAGGCCCUGCUUUUGUGGGGUGCUCGAGUGGCGAACGGGUGAGUAACACGUGAGUAACCUGCCCUUGACUUUGGGAUAACUUCAGGAAACUGGGGCUAAUACCGGUUAGGAGCUCCUGCUGCAUGGUGGGGGUUGGAAAGUUUCGGCGGUUGGGGAUGGACUCGCGGCUUAUCAGCUCUUUGGUGGGGUAGUGGCUUACCAAGGCUUUGACGGGUAGCCGGCCUGAGAGGGUGACCGGCCACAUUGGGACUGAGAGACGGCCCAGACUCCUACGGGAGGCAGCAGUGGGGAAUAUUGCACAAUGGGCGGAAGCCUGAUGCAGCAACGCCGCGUGCGGGAUGACGGCCUUCGGGUUGUAAACCGCUUUCGCCUGUGACGAAGCGUGAGUGACGGUAAUGGGUAAAGAAGCACCGGCUAACUACGUG
rnacentral:rRNA from 1 species